rnacentral:lncRNA from 1 species
CGCCUUCUCCAAAUCUGCAGCCCCCAAAUCGAAUCAUGGUGAGCAGCACAGCAGCGAGGGAUGUCGAGCUCGGCUUGAGGAGGAGGACGAAGCGGUUGCUGACUUACUGCAGGAGGGGAUGGCGUCCAUGGAUCUGGAGAAGGGGAGCUGCUCGCCUGGGCGCCAUGGAUGGAGAACAGGAGCUUGUCUUAGGACCUAGCGCCGAGCAGGAAGACCAAGGAAUGGAGCUCGGGCGCUGCUUGAGGAGAAGGGAGCAGGGCCGACGCCAUGGAUGGGAGGAGCAGAGGUGCCGAGUGGAGCAAGGAAGCUGUUGUGCGGUGGCUGGGAGAAGACGUGCGUGAGGUGGGAGAGGAGUUGAGGCUGCGUGCUUGCUUGAGGGAGGAAAAUGGUUGGGCGGCAGUGAGAUAAGGCCAACACAUGAGCGGC